rnacentral:rRNA from 1 species
UACGUAGGGGGCAAGCGUUGUCCGGAAUCAUUGGGCGUAAAGAGCGUGUAGGCGGCCAGAUAAGUCCGCUGUGAAAACUCGAGGCUCAACUUCGAGCUGUCGGUGGAUACUAUUUGGCUAGAGUCCGGAAGAGGAGAGUGGAAUUCCUGGUGUAGCAGUGAAAUGCGCAGAUAUCAGGAAGAACACCAGUGGCGAAAGCGCCUUGCUGGGCCAUUACUGACGCUGAGGAACGAAAGCCAGGGGAGCGAAAGGG